AAAGGACCACAAAAUAUAAAGCGAUUAUAAUAUUUUCUGUAUAAGCAUUCGAAAUUUCUCCGGGAACAUAGCAAAAUCUCCGCAAAUGCACUCCAUUCUUGCUUGCAAUUUGGCCUUAUCGACAUAUCCAGUUUGCAAGUGAACCCUAAAAAAUAGCCCUGUUUGGCCACAUCAUCUCCGGCCAUGUUUAAGCUUCCCCACUACAAAACACAACAAUCCCACCCUUUAAACCUCACAAUAAUCAGCUGAGUCAAGCUUUGAAAGCAAGGAAAUUAGAGAAACAUACCUUUUUCGACCCACAGAGUGAAGAGGGAGUCGGUGCCGGUGAUGCCAGAGCUGAAGUCUCGCUGCGAUUGAGUGCUUGGAUCUCCAGAAAGGGUGAGAAUCGCGACGGAAAAGAAGAAGAUUGGCGUCAAUGGCGCAGCAUCUGGAGCAUU
rnacentral:lncRNA from 1 species